rnacentral:rRNA from 1 species
CGCGAGUUAGUUUGGCACCUAAACGGCGAAACUGCGAAUGGCUCAUUAAAUCAGUUAUCGUAUAUUUGAUAGUACCUACUACAUGGAUAACCGUGGUAAUUCUAGAGCUAAUACAUGCUUAAAAUCCCGACUUCGGAAGGGAUGUAUUUAUUAGAUUAAAAACCAAUGCCCUUCGGGGCUCACUGGUGAUUCAUAAUAACUUCUCGAAUCGCAUGGCCUUGUGCCGGCGAUGGUUCAUUCAAAUUUCUGCCCUAUCAACUUUCGACGGCUGGGUCUUGGCCAGCCGUGGUUACAACGGGUAACGGAGGGUUAGGGCUUGACCCCGGAGAAGGAGCCUGAGAAACGGCUACUACAUCCAAGGAAGGCAGCAGGCGCGCAAAUUACCCAAUCCCGACUCGGGGAGGUAGUGACAAUAAAUACUGAUACAGGGCUCUUUUGGGUCUUGUAAUUGGAAUGAGUACAAUUUAAAUCCCUUAACGAGGAACAAUUGGAGGGCAAGUCUGGUGCCAGCAGCCGCGGUAAUUCCAGCUCCAAUAGCGUAUAUUAAAGUUGUUGCAGUUAAAAAGCUCGUAGUUGAACCUUGGGCCUGGCUGGCCGGUCUGCCUCACCGCAUGCACUGGUCCGGCCGGGCCUUUCCCUCUGGGGAGCCGCAUGCCCUUCACUGGGUGGUGUCGGGGAACCAGGACUUUUACUGUGAAAAAAUUAGAGUGUUCAAAGCAGGCAUAUGCUCGAAUACAUUAGCAUGGAAUAAUAGAAUAGGAACGUCGCGGUUCUAUUUUUGUUGGUUUCUAGGACCGCCGUAAUGAUUAAUAGGGACAGUCGGGGGCAUCAGUAUUCAAUCGUCAGAGGUGAAAUUCUUGGAUCGAUUGAAGACUAACUACUGCGAAAGCAUUUGCCAAGGAUGGUUUCAUUAUUCAGGAACGAAAGUUAGGGGAUCGAAAACAAACAGAUACCCGU